GGUCAAAGCUCAGUAGUAGAGUGUCUGAUUUGCAUGCAGAAGGUCCUGGGUUCAGUCCCUAAUGGCAUCU